UUAAUGUUAGAGUGCGCGCACGAUAACUCUGCGCGUAACAGCGUAGGGAUUCAUUAAAAAAAUGGGCCAAGUGCGUUGUCGG